UGGCGACAGAGGAACUCUAUGCCCAGAUCUAACGAAAGUCUAUGGAUGAAGAAUGCAGUCGCAUGAAGAGAAGCACAGCUUUGUCGCCCAGCCGAAGAGGUUCGAGGUCGUAGCAGAAGAAAAGUCUGCACACUCGCCCCUUUUUCCACCUAACAGGAAAUAAGGUGGGGCAAGGAAGGCUUCAAAUUGGGCGGGUACAAUAUUCUACUGACAGAGGCUGCAUGGCAGAGAGAGAGAGGAGCGAAAUGAAGCAAAUGAGACUAAAGAGAUUUCUAGUUUCUCUACCGUGGAUGUGCCAUAAGGGAGCAGUGAAUAAGGAGUGAGGUCGGUGGAACCAGGUAUAUGGGUGGAGGUUGUCCGAUCUCUGGAGGAGGUGGCAGGAGAAGAGACUUCUGCGUUACUCUCUCUGACCGACCUGGAACACACACACACACACACACACACACACACACACACACACACACACACACACACACACACACACACACACACACACACACACCUGUCCACGCCGUAUACUCUCUCUCAUACACUCCAAUUGACAAUAUCUGGCCUCCUCACUUGAGACCUUCCCUUAAGGGACUUUUCACUUGAUUAUUUGGGCCCAGAAGAUGUGUUUAUAUUAAAUUGCUGAACAUUUUUGUGGGUAUUUCUGAGUCGAGUGAACUUUAUGUUUUGAGUUUUUUUUGGUUCAAGUACAGCUGUUUUUAAUGAUUGAAUUGGCUUCCUUGUUCAGUCUUUGUUCCAGACUUAUGUUAGAUUUUAUCCAACCCAAUGUUACCCAACUGCUCGGGUUAAUCGUUACUCAUUGUUCGAAGGAUAAUUCUCUAAAUGUGACAGGAUACAAAGUAUAUUAUUAUCCUUUUGGAUUUAAGAGGAUAACCUAUACUACAAGGUGUGUUGGAUAUUUAAAAAAACUGCUGAGAGGACUUAGACAAAGCAUUUAUUUACAUGCACAGCAAUAACUAUUGACUCAUCAAUAAACCCUGAUCCCACACCAGUAAAUCGGUUGAAUGCUUAAUAUAAUAAGAUCUUGAACCAACAGCAUCUGAUCCUUAACAUGAGUGCGCAUUAAUGUGUUCAAUUGACAUUAAUGCAGGAGGGAAGAUCGGCAUACAAAUGAUACCGCGGCCCGAUGCCGGGUCCGACCGAAUUCUGGUGAAUUCUUUAUCAAGAAGGAUUCUUGGCAUGAAAGCUGACAUCAUUAUACACCUCCAGCUUUGGAGUAAAACGAGAGCUCUGACUCACCUUAACCACUUCACUCUGUUCAGGUAAGGAUGAACUCAAACCUUGUUUAAUUAGUUUCUCUGGGACUCUAUUUUGAUUGUGAAACCAGGCUCCGUAUGUUUGGGCAAAUAUAAAAUGUCUGUCCAAGGGACCUGUGGGCUGGUGAAAGGAGUUUAUAUUUGUCUGUCUGUCGGUGAUGUACUGAGAAAUAAAAGGUUGCGGAGCAGCUUGCAUGUGGGGAACUGUAUUGAACAACCGUCCAACCAUCAUCUGUACACGAUAAUUCCUCCCUGAUUUGAAUGUCUUCCAAGCUCUCUUGAGAUGAGAGGCAAUUUUAAAUAGUGUUUUGACUAUUUUUUUAUCAAAACACAAUUUGGUGACUAAAUGAGUAAACAUUGUCUGAUUUCAUGUGGUUUCUCCGUUCACUGGUUAUCCCGUCGUAUUGCAUUGAUUUGUGGUUAAAGAGCGCAUCUAAUGGUUAUUCACAGAAAGGGCUCCAUACAGGCUCCAUACAGGCUUUUCCCAUGUUUUUUUUUAAAUUCAGGUUUGUGUUCCUUUCUUUUAUUUUGAAGUUAACUCCUAAUGUGUCUUGUUAUGGGCCUUUUGUUCAUUAAUCUGCUUUGUGAUUGUCUGCCCCGCCCUCAUUAGGUUCACCUCUCUAGUCAGACGUGCUCUUGUUCACCUGUUCACCUCACUUUCUCGUUUCUCAGUCUGUGUUUAUACCACGAAAGGUCCUUUUUAUUUGUUGUUUUGUCUUCAGUUGUAUUUGGGGAUAUAGUCUGACUUUGUGUUCAACUGCUGUUCCGUGCCUGUCUUGCAGACAAUAGCAAGUCCAAAUUUUGGAAUCAAGCUAUUGAAUUGGUUCUGGUGCUUACUCAUCUACUGUAUGUCGUCAUUUGGGACCAUCCCCAUACCAUCACAGCUUUAGCCACCUGUAAAUCACAGUUUGAGCUACAUGUCAAAAUGGC
ensembl:lncRNA